UACAGAGGGUGCAAGCGUUGUUCGGAAUUAUUGGGCGUAAAGAGCGCGCAGGCGGUCGUGCAAGUCGCGUGUGAAAGCCCCCGGCUCAACUGGGGAGGGUCACGCGAUACUGCUCGACUCGAAGGCAGGAGAGGGAAGUGGAAUUCCCGGUGUAGUGGUGAAAUGCGUAGAUAUCGGGAGGAACACCAGUGGCGAAGGCGACUUCCUGGCCUGUUCUUGACGCUGAGGCGCGAAAGCUAGGGUAGCAAACGGG
rnacentral:rRNA from 1 species